AUUGAACGCUGGCGGCAGGCCUAACACAUGCAAGUCGAACGAGUGGCGGACGGGUGAGUAAUGUCUGGGACACUGCCCGAUGGAGGUGGAUAACUACUGGAAACGGUAGCUAAUACCGCAUACCAUCGGAUGUGCCCAGAGGGGAUUAGCUAGUAGGUGGGGUAAUGGCUCACCUGGGCGACGAUCCCUGGCUGGUCUGAGAGGAGGACCAGCAAAAUGGGACCUGAGACACGGUCCAGACCCCUACGGGAGGCAGCAGGGGGGAAUAUUGCAAAAGGGGCGCAAGCCUGAUGCAGCCAUGCCGCGUGUAUGAAGAAGGCCUUCGGGUUGUAAAGUACUUUCAGCGAGGAGGCGUUACUCGAAGAAGAAGCACCGGCUAACUCCGUGCCAGCAGCCGCGGUAAUUC
rnacentral:rRNA from 1 species